rnacentral:lncRNA from 1 species
AGAUCAACAGGAUUCUUGAGUCCCACGAAGACGUUUCUUAAGCAAAUUAAAACUUGCGACAACGAAAGAGACUAAGCGCCGGUUGUUCCAACUUCUUGGUAAACUUACCUACCAGGUAAAUUUACCAAGAGGUUGGAACAACCGACUCUAAACGGAUUGUUAAUCGAGAGUAUCGAUGAAUAUCGAGAGUAUCGAGAUGGCCAAUAGCGUAAACGUAGUCGCACGAGGUUGCAAGAUGCAGCUAUACAUCCACUUUUACCAAUGUUAAUUAGCUUUAGUCUCAAUUUAACCUCCUUUUUAACUUUUUCUAUAUCUAGAAAUAAGAAAAACAGAGAUUAAAGCUAAUUUACGUUGAUGGAAAUGGGCAUAUGUAAUUUGCCUUACAAUAUUUUACAAUUAAUCACAACUACCAAUAGACUAUUGCCAAAUGGCUUUAACUUUACGCGUCAUGGCAUCCCUGAUGCUUGAAUAUAUGUGCUGAAUGCCGCUUAGCGCCAACUUCGCUCGAGUCGUUCUCUGUACAUCUAUACAUGUGCAUGGUUAUGGCUUCUUACGUUCAUACGCGAAACCACAAUUUAGAAAGAGUCUCGUUAAUUCGCGCCGUAUCUUCCUCGGCACGUUCACUGUCGGCGUUUUAAUGCGCCCGCAGUCAAUUAAAACCCGGAUCACUACGUUGUUUGCUAAUGUAUACAUGGAAUCUAUUCUCCGCGAAGAUAACAAGAUCUCCCGUUUUUUUUUCCAACAUGAAAAAUAGUUGAUCAGUUUGACUUCUAAAAAGGUUGGCUCUCGUAUCGUGAUAUAACAUGCCUGCUGUUACGUGCAAACUGACGUACAUUCCCAGGAGCGCCGCUUAAUCAGAUCUGAUUCGAUGAUCACCGGAAAGCGAGUCUUCCGUUUUCCGAUAGCACAACAGCGUGCUAAUAUUGACACACACGUGCGGACUUAUAUUCGUGAUGCAUGAAUGGGGGAAGGAGCGGUCGGUUCAUAGCAGCAGCGGAGGAGGAGGAGGAGGAUGGAGGUGGUGGUGGUGGUGGCUGCCGCGGCAGACGGUUUCAUCGAUUGGCAUUGCCGGCAUUCGUCCGGAGAAGAGUGUGAGCGGGGUCCGUGAACUCCGCGCCGACGGCUCAUCCCAGUUUUUCAUGGUCACGGUAAAAGAGGGUGGUUUCUCCCUCGGCGAAGGGCCGAAAGUCGCGCGUCCUCCGCCUCGCAGAACUCGCGCGAUCAGGGAUGAUUGUCGUAAUAAUAUCAUUGAUAUCAUAAUUCUCUCAUUCCUUUUACCCUCUGAAGUCUCACACUCAAAUUGAAUGAAAUGUAGCGUUCUAGUCGGAAACACUCAUUCAAUACGAAUUUGAAUUUCAAAGCUGAGCUGGAAUUAUGUCCCAUUCGUGAUUCUGAUGUUAUAAUACACUUUCUAUCCUUCUAUUUAAUUAUAAACGAACACGAAACGAACUAAGAAAGGGAUAAGGCCGCUGCCAUCCGUACGCGAAUCCCAUAACAUUUAGGAAAACGAAAUUAUUAUUGUCCUGACGCGGCGAGACGUAAUUAGGCAACCUGCAUCCUGGGUUUACGAUCGCCUGGUAACACCACUGUUCGCGAGGAAAACUGGCUAGAAAGACCUAAUCGCGAGCGAACCGAGCUGGGUAAACGCAAUUGCAUGGAAGCGUACGAUUCGCAACGAUGGACUUGCGCUUAUACAGAAGCCUCCUCGUUCGCCUUGAAAUGAACGCGAGACAUGAUAAAAUGCAAAUGGAACGCCCGAUGACGAUUCUCCCUUAGGAAAAUAUGAGACGAGGAAAUCGUCAUGAUCGAUGCUACAAGAAAUAAAUCUGUGAUUUACUAAGAAUUUUCUUGCAAUUAAGAAAACAAGAUUACUUUAAAUCAUAAAGGACUAAUGUCGAAUAUGCAAUAUAUUCGCAUGGAAAAUGGAUCGACGACGUUGACAAGAAGAAGACGCAUAUGCGUGCUCCGCGUGCGUUAUAUGCAUCUGUCAAAACCACGCCCUUAUCCCCUAUCCUGCUGCCUCGCUCUAUUCGCCUGUAUGCGAAGGAAGAGCAAGGAAGUCCUCGACAGGCUUUCCACAAUUGAAGCAAUCAAUCUCGCUUCAAAAGAGCGAUUAAAUUCAAUUAUUAUUAACAGUUCGCAUCUAAUUAGAAGUAUUAAGAGUUACAAAUUAUAUUUUAGAAAUAAUUUCUUAUAGCAAAUACAAAUAUAUAGAAAAAUGCAAAAAAUAUGAUUAUUUAAAAAAAUCAUAUAUAAUGGUAAAAAUAUUAUUUUAAAAAAUAGAGACGCGUCAUAUAAUAAUUAUAUGAAGCGUGAAAAGAGAUAAAUAAGUUUUGAUAAGUUAUCAUAUCUAAUUUUGCGAUUGCAAAUUCAUACAUUCGGAAAAUAUAGUACAUAUAUCUUGGAAUUUAUUCUCUGAUUGCUCCUUCGAAGCGUUUCUAAUUACUCCAAUUGAAAAUGUUAGGAAUUUGUGCGAUACGUCCCACUCAUUAAUUCGAGCUCAUUAAUUCGUGCUCGUUAAUCUUAUCGUGCAUAAUUGCAGUGAGAUAUAAUACGGUAUGUAUGAAGUAUCAUCAAUAAUAUGCACAUAUGAAAUAUACCUUGUCUGUAAGCGAUAAAAAGUCUAAUUCGCUCACGUUUUAAUAAUAAGCAAUUAACGCCAUGAUAAUUUUAGGAAAAUGUAUGGAUAUCGUGUGUGAUAAUGACAUAUAACAGUUAUGAUAGAACAUUCGUAAUUAAAACGGUAAAUCACUCAUUCCCGUUUCGUCCGAUUCUCUGUCAUUCCACGAAGAACAUCAUUAAUGCGCAAUGCCAUCGUUCAAUUAUGGCGAUAAAGGAAUAAAAAAAAUACAUCAUUUUCUCCUACAAAGAAAGAGAGAGAGAGAGAGAGAGAGAGAGAAAGAGAUCGUCUGUCUUUCGACCACACCCCGAUUCCAUUUUCGAUCGCAUCAAAAGACCGAUCGAUAUCUUGAUGCAGGCCCGGCCUGUGAAGACACGUAAUUUCAGAAUCACUAUCAUCUUCAGAGAAAAAUCACUUCGCCAAUUCAGGAACUCUCGGUUGAGAUAUUUUGCAAAUGAAGAACUGAUCGCUGAACAUUGUUUUGUCGUUUUACGCGAAGGAAAGCACCAUUAUACACAGAGUAUCACGACUCUCUGACGGUUGACCGCAGAUUCUCACGCCAGUCCGAAGUCAAUCCUUUCUCACUUCCGUAACAUACGAAAAAAGGGACAGAAGCCGAUGAAAGGAAGAAGACGCUUGUUGUCCUCUUAGGAAAGUUGGGCGAGCAGCUUCUCUAAGGCCUGGUCUACAAUAGCUAGAGUAAGCAUGGAGUAAGAAGUAAGACUAGGUGUAAAAGGAUUAAUCCAGUGUAAGAAAGCGUAAGGGCAUAAGCGAAAUAAAUUAUUUUCAUUUUGUCUUACUCCUACUCCUGCUUUUCUUAACGCUCGGUCAAUCACAAUGCAGAAGGAAAAUUACCUUACUCUUACUUCUUACUCCAUGCUUGCUCCAGCUAUUGUAGAUCAGGCCUAAAAGUACACAGGAAACGUCUCCGAGAGACGUUUGAAAUGUCUGAAGGAUAUUUGCCAGGGAAACAACGGCUUAACUCGCGGCGAAGGGUGCACUGACCUGUCAGUUGACGCGUACGAGUUUCUAGGGCGCAAGCUGGCGCGGAUAGACUGUCGAACAGCAGGCGAACGUUGUUCAAAGGCAGGAACGAGACGGUACACUGACUGCACUGACUGACCGGUUAGUGCUUCUGCGGCAUGUAAUACCAGGUAACAGCGCCGAGCAGCGCCCGUCGUUCAUCUCCCUCCAUCCGCCACUUCCCUCCUUAAAGCGACAGGCCCCUCUCGCCAGGAUCGGCGCAGAAAAGGGUUCGAUGGAGUACUUGCAAUGUCGCCUUUCAAUAUUGCACAUCUUGGAAUAAUUAAAUAGCCUAUAGUUAACAUAAAUAAUUAAUUGUAAAGAUAGAAUAACAUCACACAAAGAAAAAUCUUUCGGUUUUAUUUUAUUAUAUUAUUCGUAACAUAUAAAUAAAAAAUGAAAUAAGUAGAACAGUAUUUGUAUUUGGUAAAGUUAAUUCAGAAUUAACUGUUCAAUAUAUGUACACGAGAAAAGAACAAUAUAUUGCUCGUAAUAUAUUAAUCUGUACUAAAGAUAUUUCAGUUAUAAAUCUGGAUCUUGCGAGUGUAUACAUCGUUCCUGGACUGGACCCCACCGCUCCUGAAUCGAGACCAAUCAACGCUUAGCUUCUACCUCCCCAAUUGCGCCAAUUAAUCGCGGCUCCCUUUUCUACGAGUUUUUUUCGAUCGUCUCCUUGACCGUCAUACGGAGGGGUAACUGACCAUAACUGACUCACCCUUGGUGAUGACCAGGAAUUUACAUUCGACACACGGAUCCACGCCAACAUUGAACGACACGGCCUUUUUUUCUUUGCGACGAUAUUUUUACAUUAGCGUUCAUCUUAUGAUUCUUGGCCUCGUUCUCAAACUGAAUUCCAGCUCUAAUUCGGUUCGCAAUGAUUUAUUACCGACGUGUUAGGGAAGGGGCAAAAAGACUAUAAUACUGGGGGUUGAUACACGUUAGUGAGUCAUUGAAAUCCCAUGUGGGCCCAUCUGUGUGUCAUAUGUUCUCCCGCUACGUUAGGUUCCGCUUAGCUGAGAAUUCGAAAUAACUAGAGGUAGAAAGUUAUAUUGGUUGAAUCUUUUCAAAUUUGACAGCAUUCGGCAUAGAUGCGCGAUUAUUUGGUUUGGAGCUCACUCAAUCACGUGAUUAUGAGUUUUCAUGAACUGCUUUGAAAUUAAAUAAAAUUUCAAUAAUGUAA